AAUGUGUUUUCCUCACCUUUUUUGCUUUGGGAUUUGCACUUUUCCGAUCGAGCCUUGGAGAACAAGCAGCGCGACACCCUGUCGCUACCCGAUCUGCGGUGCCUACCCGAUUUGCGCGCGCAUGCGCACGCAUGCGCAGAGCUUAACUAUUACGACCCUGCACGAUCUGCGUUUUUUUUACUUUGCGACACGAGUCCCCAUCCGAUUUGUCUCGCGCACGCGCUCUCUGCUUAAUUAAAAUUCAUUUCACGACGCUGCCCGAUUUGUUCUGCGCAUGUCGAAUGUUUUACGACACACGAGAAAUAAAGUUACCACGGGAUUUUAAUUUCUCGGUCUGCAUUAACAAAUAGAACUUCCGCCAUUCGAGUGAGAAGGAGAAAGAAGAACGCUGUAGAGAAUAGGAGCAUAUUGAAUUUUUUUCCUGGCAGAAGAAUAUUUUUCACUUCUUGGAAAAAAUGAAGACUUUUCAAUUUUACAACGACUUGAAAGAAUAUCUUUUACGGGAAGAAUUUAGCAACAAUUUAACGGUCAGAGAGCGAAGUGAAAUACGACGUGUGUCCGUGAAUUUUAUGAUUAAAGUCCAUCAUCCAUGCCCUGGCUGCUCUACAGGGUGUAUCAGGACAGGAGGCAGAAGACUUAUUUCUUGGUGGCCCAGAAUACAGUAUCAGUGAAGUGGAAGAAUUUAACUGAAAGAUAGGGCAACAAUUAAAGAAGGAGGGAAUGCUGUGAUAUCUGUUGGAAUAGAAGAUGAUGUUACUGCCCAGUGCUUCCAGAAUCCUUCAUUUGAGUCUUGGGUCUGAAUCUACUGCGUCAUUGCCAAGUAU